UACGUAGGGUGCGAGCGUUGUCCGGAAUUAUUGGGCGUAAAGAGCUCGUAGGCGGCUUGUUGCGUCGUCCGUGAAAACCUGUGGCUCAACUACAGGCUUGCGGUCGAUACGGGCGGGCUGGAGUUCGGUAGGGGAGACUGGAAUUCCUGGUGUAGCGGUGAAAUGCGCAGAUAUCAGGAGGAACACCGGUGGCGAAGGCGGGUCUCUGGGCCGAUACUGACGCUGAGGAGCGAAAGCGUGGGGAGCGAACAGG
rnacentral:rRNA from 1 species